UUAUUGAUGAGAUAUGAGUUCUUCUUUUGAGUGGAAUGUUUCUCUCACUCACCGGUUGAUGGAUCUUCAUCGGAGUUGAAAAGCAGUUCGUUCAUGCUUAAAUUGCCUCUCUUCGCGUCUAGAUAAAUAAUGGGGUUUAUCUUUUGAUACAAAACUGAUAAACUGUGUGUGCUUCUCAUUACUCCAAAUUGGGAAUCAUGGGUGCAAUCAGAGAUUAAAUAAUUUUCAGGUUGAUAUGACUGCAUUGAGUUAGAUGAAAGACAACGACCUCAAAGAUAUAUAUUCGGCCAAUAAUUUUGUUGGUUCCACAUUUUAUCUGAAGAAAUGAUUUCUAAAAUGUACGAAUCCCUUUGGUCCAUAAUGUGAAGAAAGUGAGUGACUAUCAUGAGUUAUUGUGCUCGGAUUAUUCUUCUUUGUGGUCGAUGGCAGCGACAUGGUAAUGUAAGGUCAAUGGGAGAAAAGGGCAGCGUAUACAUUCCUUUUUGGAAAUUUCAUGGAUAUCUACUAUUGGGAUGAAGAAGACCGGUGUUUCAUCUUGAUGCCUCUCCUAUGAAAAUCCGCGACCACUCUUUGUAUAUAGGAUCUGGAGGCAGUGAGAAUUCAUGACCUGUAGGUAAGUCUCUCAGCUUCUCGAUUUCAUAAGCAUCACUAAUGUUUAGGAAUGUCUUGGUACCUGCAGAUUUGGGGUUUUACUUGAGGGGAUCAGAGCUUAGAUAUUCUCAUUAAGGUUGGUGUCCUCUAAUUCUUGGUCAUUCUUGAUCCAUCCUUGGUAAGCUUUAGGCUUUGACAAAAUUUUGUAUUAAUUUGGUUGCCAGCUUGCUCUUCUGCUUAGUUUCUUUAGUAUGUAGUUUGUUCUAGCUCACCAUUUUCUUAUCCAUGUUGAUAUGAUAGUGUUGUGGCCCCUCACGGAGCCCUGGCUGCGCAUCCACGAUAGCCUUCACCCGGAAGGAUUGGGUCUUUGUUCUGUAUAUAUGUUCUAGAGUUAUGCCAUUGGUUUAGCUGUAGAGGAGUUUCAUAUGAUCCCUUGUUGUACUGCACCUGAGGAGGCUACCUUUGUGAUAGAAAGGCGUGAUACAUAAAUAAAAUCAGGAACUAAGCAUGUAAAAUUUUAAAGCUGAAGCGAUGGUAGUUUAUAUGUCAGAAGAUUUUGAUUUCCAAGUAAAAUGAGGAAGUGAGCUUGUACUAUUUUUUCCUUCAAUCUAAAUAUGCUAAACUAUCUUUAUUUCUGGCGUUGGACAUUGUGUGAUAAACUGUCCAGGAAAAUCUGGCCGGCUGUCUCAUCUGAAAUUAGCAAAUCUAGCUGUGCUUUUUCUUCAGGAUGACAAGCCGGAGAAGCUCAUAUUGCAUCACUUCGUCGAGGAGUUGAGUGUGAAAACAUGCUUCUGUGGUAGUUCAACUUUUCACUAGAAAAAGCUUGUGCAUCCAAUUUAUCAUCUAACAUGAUGUUGGGCGAUUGGUUGCUGAAAAUGGAACUCUGAAGGUUUUUUUAAAGGAGAACUCUGAAGGUUAUUUGGCCUCAGAGUGACCAUUACCACCCUACAAAGGAGUGUUUCAGAGCUUACUUAAAGAUAACUUGGUUGAUCUUAUUGAUGUAAAGGUAAUCGAUAUGAUUCAGAUGAAAGUUAGUCGAUAUCUUUACUGUUGCUGUAUUGUAGUGUUGUGCUUUUACAUGCUCUUAAAUUCAGAGAACGAUAAAUCUGUUUUGGAGUGGCUGAAAUGAGAACAUGUAAGACCACAUUAGUGCUGCAGAAUGGUUGGAGUGCCUCAAAUAUUUUUGAAACUGAAUGUCUUUCUACUAUGCAAUUCAUACAGGUUAGGACAGUUUUUUGUGUGAGUAAUUCUCAUAUGCAAUUCAUAUUUAUGUUACCAUGUGAUUUACUCGUAUUUAGUGUAUGCA